GUCCAUGCCGUAAACGUUGGGCGCUAGGUGUGGGGACCUUCCACGGUUUCCGUGCCGCAGCUAACGCAUUAAGCGCCCCGCCUGGGGGAGUACGGCCGCAAAGGCUAAAACUCAAAGGAAUUGACGGGGCCCGCACAAGCGGCGGAGCAUGCUGAUUAAUUCGAUGCAACGCGAAGAACCUUACCUAGGUUUGACAUAUAGAGAAAACUUACAGAGAUGUAAGGUCCUUUUGGGCUCUAUACAGGUGGUGCAUGGCUGUCGU
rnacentral:rRNA from 1 species